rnacentral:rRNA from 1 species
GACGAACGCUGGCGGCGUGCUUAACACAUGCAAGUCGAACGGAAAGGCCCUGCUUUUGUGGGGUGCUCGAGUGGCGAACGGGUGAGUAACACGUGAGUAACCUGCCCUUGACUUUGGGAUAACUUCAGGAAACUGGGGCUAAUACCGGAUAGGAGCUCCUGCUGCAAGGUGGGGGUUGGAAAGUUUCGGCGGUUGGGGAUGGACUCGCGGCUUAUCAGCUUGUUGGUGGGGUAGUGGCUUACCAAGGCUUUGACGGGUAGCCGGCCUGAGAGGGUGACCGGCCACAUUGGGACUGAGAUACGGCCCAGACUCCUACGGGAGGCAGCAGUGGGGAAUAUUGCACAAUGGGCGGAAGCCUGAUGCAGCAACGCCGCGUGCGGGAUGACGGCCUUCGGGUUGUAAACCGCUUUCGCCUGUGACGAAGCGUGAGUGACGGUAAUGGGUAAAGAAGCACCGCCUAACUACGUG